AAGUCGUAACAAGGUUUCCGUAGGUGAACCUGCGGAAGGAUCAUUAAUGAAUUUUGAACUGGGUUGUUGCUGGCUCUUAGGGGCACUGUGCACACCCUUCAAUCUCAUCUAUCCCUGUGCACCAACUGUAGACUUUGUUUAUCAGAGUCUAUGUUUUUCACACACACUAUUGAUAUUGAAUGUGUAUCAGAUCUCAGUGAUCUAUAAUAAUACAACUUUUAGCAAUGGAUCUCUUGGCUCUC
rnacentral:misc_RNA from 1 species